rnacentral:rRNA from 1 species
AGAGUUUGAUCCUGGCUCAGAACGAACGCUGGCGGCGUGGAUAAGACAUGCAAGUCGAACGAGAGAAUUGCUAGCUUGCUAAUAAUUCUCUAGUGGCGCACGGGUGAGUAACACGUGAGUAACCUGCCCCCGAGAGCGGGAUAGCCCUGGGAAACUGGGAUUAAUACCGCAUAGUAUCGAAAGAUUAAAGCAGCAAUGCGCUUGGGGAUGGGCUCGCGGCCUAUUAGUUAGUUGGUGAGGUAACGGCUCACCAAGGCGAUGACGGGUAGCCGGUCUGAGAGGAUGUCCGGCCACACUGGAACUGAGACACGGUCCAGACACCUACGGGUGGCAGCAGUCGAGAAUCAUUCACAAUGGGGGAAACCCUGAUGGUGCGACGCCGCGUGGGGGAAUGAAGGUCUUCGGAUUGUAAACCCCUGUCAUGUGGGAGCAAAUUAAAAAGAUAGUACCACAAGAGGAAGAGACGGCUAACUCUGUGCCAGCAGCCGCGGUAAUACAGAGGUCUCAAGCGUUGUUCGGAAUCACUGGGCGUAAAGCGUGCGUAGGCUGUUUCGUAAGUCGUGUGUGAAAGGCGCGGGCUCAACCCGCGGACGGCACAUGAUACUGCGAGACUAGAGUAAUGGAGGGGGAACCGGAAUUCUCGGUGUAGCAGUGAAAUGCGUAGAUAUCGAGAGGAACACUCGUGGCGAAGGCGGGUUCCUGGACAUUAACUGACGCUGAGGCACGAAGGCCAGGGGAGCGAAAGGGAUUAGACACCCCUGUAGUCCUGGCAGUAAACGGUGCACGCAUGGGGUGCGGGGAAUCGACCCCCUGCGUGCCGGA